rnacentral:rRNA from 1 species
UACGGAAGGCAGCAGUGGGGAAUAUUGCACAAUGGGCGAAAGCCUGAUGCAGCUAUGCCGCGUGUAUGAAGAAGGCCUUAGGGUUGUAAAGUACUUUCAUCGGGGAGGAAAAACAAAACUAAUAAUUUUAUUUCUUGACGUUACCCGAAAAAGAAGCACCGGCUAACUCCGUGCCAGCAGCCGCGGUAAUACGGAGGGUGCUAGCGUUAAUCAGAAUUACUGGGCGUAAAGAGCACGUAGGUGGUUUUUUUAAAGUCAGAUGUGAAAUCCCUGGGCUUAACCUGGAACUGCAUUUUGAAACUGAAAUACUAGAGUAUCGUAGAGGGAGGUAGAAUUCUAGGUGUAGCGGUGAAAUGCGUAGAUAUCUGGAGGAAUACCUGUGGCGAAAGCGGCCUCCUAAACGAAUACUGACACUGAGGGUGCGAAAGCGUGGGGAGCAAACGAGGGAUUAGAUACC